AGGCCACUGCUAUCGGAGUUCGAUUAAGCCAUGCGAGUCGAGAGGUGUAAGACCUCGGCAUACUGCUCAGUAACACGUGGACAACCUACCCUGAAGAGGGGGAUAACCCCGGGAAACUGGGGAUAAUACCCCAUAGACUAUGGAUGCUGGAAUGCUUUGUAGUUGAAAGGUCCGCCGCUUCAGGAUGGGUCUGCGGCCGAUUAGGUUGUUGUUGGGGUAACGGCCCAACAAGCCUGUAAUCGGUACGGGUUGUGGGAGCAAGAGCCCGGAGAUGGAUUCUGAGACACGAAUCCAGGCCCUACGGGGCGCAGCAGGCGCGAAAACUUUACAAUGCGAGCAAUCGUGAUAAGGGAACUCCGAGUGCCUGUAAAAUCAGGCUGUCCGCCAGUGUAAAUAACUGGUGAAGAAAGGGCCGGGCAAGACCGGUGCCAGCCGCCGCGGUAAUACCGGCGGCUCGAGUGGUGGCCACUAUUACUGGGCUUAAAGCGUUCGUAGCUGGUCUGUUAAGUCUCUGGGGAAAUCUUCCGGCUUAACCGGAAGGCGUCUCAGGGAUACUGGCAGACUAGGGACCGGAAGAGGUGAGAGGUACUCCAGGGGUAGGAGUGAAAUCCUGUAAUCCUUGGGGGACCACCUGUGGCGAAGGCGUCUCACCAGGACGGCUCCGACAGUGAGGAACGAAAGCUGGGGGAGCAAACCGGAUUAGAUACCCGGGUAGUCCCAGCUGUAAACGAUGCGCGUUAGGUGUAUCGGUGACCACGAGUCACCGAGGUGCCGAAGAGAAAUCGUGAAACGUGCCGCCUGGGAAGUACGGUCGCAAGGCUGAAACUUAA
rnacentral:rRNA from 1 species